CUGGCGGCGUGCUUAACACAUGCAAGUCGAACGAUGAUGCCCACUUGUGGGUGGAUUAGUGGCGAACGGGUGAGUAACACGUGAGUAACCUGCCCUUGACUCUGGGAUAAGCCUGGGAAACUGGGUCUAAUACCGGAUAUGACCUUCCAUCGCAUGGUGGUUGGUGGAAAGCUUUUGUGGUUUUGGAUGGACUCGCGGCCUAUCAGCUUGUUGGUGGGGUAAUGGCCUACCAAGGCGACGACGGGUAGCCGGCCUGAGAGGGUGACCGGCCACACUGGGACUGAGACACGGCCCAGACUCCUACGGGAGGCAGCAGUGGGGAAUAUUGCACAAUGGGCGCAAGCCUGAUGCAGCGACGCCGCGUGAGGGAUGACGGCCUUCGGGUUGUAAACCUCUUUCAGUAGGGAAGAAGCGUAAGUGACGGUACCUGCAGAAGAAGCGCCGGCUAACUACGUGCCAGCAGCCGCGGUAAUACGUAGGGCGCAAGCGUUAUCCGGAAUUAUUGGGCGUAAAGAGCUCGUAGGCGGUUUGUCGCGUCUGCCGUGAAAGUCCGGGGCUCAACUCCGGAUCUGCGGUGGGUACGGGCAGAC
rnacentral:rRNA from 1 species